GUCAGAGUUGUGCACAUCGGUGCUGUGCUAACUCCGAGAGCGGAGGACGGGUGAGUAAUGCCUAGGAAUCUGCCUGGUAAUGGGAGAUUGUGCACGGAACCGGACUUUCUCACCGCACACAACCUACAUAAUAAAGCAGGUCACCUUCGCGCGUUGCGCUAUCAGAUGAGCCUAGGUCGGAUUAGCUAGUUGGUGAGGUAAUGGCUCACCAAGGCGACGAUCCGUAACUGGUCUGAGAGGAUGAUCAGUCACACUGGAACUGAGACACGGUCCAGACUCCUACGGGAGGCAGCAGUGGGGAAUAUUGGACAAUGGGCGAAAGCCUGAUCCAGCCAUGCCGCGUGUGUGAAGAAGGUCUUCGGAUUGUAAAGCACUUUAAGUUGGGAGGAAGGGCAUUAACCUAAUACGUUAGUGUUUUGACGUUACCGACAGAAUAAGCACCGGCUAACUCUGUGCCAGCAGCCGCGGUAAUACAGAGGGUGCAAGCGUUAAUCGGAAUUACUGGGCGUAAAGCGCGCGUAGGUGGUUCGUUAAGUUGGAUGUGAAAUCCCCGGGCUCAACCUGGGAACUGCAUUCAAAACUGUCGAGCUAGAGUAUGGUAGAGGGUGGUGGAAUUUCCUGUGUAGCGGUGAAAUGCGUAGAUAUAGGAAGGAACACCAGUGGCGAAGGCGACCACCUGGACUGAUACUGACACUGAGGUGCGAAAGCGUGGGGAGCAAACAGGAUUAGAUACCCUGGUAGUCCACGCCGUAAACGAUGUCAACUAGCCGUUGGGAGCCUUUGAGCUCUUAGUGGCGCAGCUAACGCAUU
rnacentral:rRNA from 1 species